ACGAACGCUGGCGGCGUGCCUAAUACAUGCAAGUAGAACGCUGAAGAGAGGAGCUUGCUCUUCUUGGAUGAGUUGCGAACGGGUGAGUAACGCGUAGGUAACCUGCCUUGUAGCGGGGGAUAACUAUUGGAAACGAUAGCUAAUACCGCAUAACAAUGGAUGACACAUGUCAUUUAUUUGAAAGGGGCAAUUGCUCCACUACAAGAUGGACCUGCGUUGUAUUAGCUAGUAGGUGAGGUAAUGGCUCACCUAGGCGACGAUACAUAGCCGACCUGAGAGGGUGAUCGGCCACACUGGGACUGAGACACGGCCCAGACUCCUACGGGAGGCAGCAGUAGGGAAUCUUCGGCAAUAGGGGCAACCCUGACCGAGCAACGCCGCGUGAGUGAAGAAGGUUUUCGGAUCGUAAAGCUCUGUUGUAAGUCAAGAACGGGUGUGAGAGUGGAAAGUUCACACUGUGACGGUAGCUGACCAGAAAGGGACGGCUAACUACGUG
rnacentral:rRNA from 1 species